rnacentral:tRNA from 1 species
AGUAGAAUGACUGAGUAAUAGGUGAAAGAUUGUAAAUCUUUUAAGGGGUUAAAUAACUCUUCUACUA